GGCCCUCUGUUUGGGGGGUUCACUGUUCCCGGUGUCCUUCAGGAUCUGUUUCUUUGCCUGGAUUGUCAGGACCCCAGCACAGCAGAGCCAUGAAGGCUGAGAUUUGGGGCAAGGGGAUGGAGAUUACAGGGGAAGAGAAGAGAGGGAAGUGAAAUGGAUGUUUCCUCUGAGGAAGGAGGAAAAAUCAACCAACAGCCUCUGCAAUUUGCCAGCUGCCUGAUCACCACGAGCUGACCUCCAGGUGGCAGAGGAGACCCAAGAGUAGGAGUCCAAUUUUCUUGCUUUGCUGAAGAGAUGUGUGAGAGGAGGCUCGACAAUACACAUGGUACAGAAUGGCAUGUCUCUGGAAUGCAGGAGGUGGAUUUAUAGUGAGUUCUCCACUCUGCCUCUGCACAUCGCACAUAGCAGAAAAAUAUGAGCUCCCUCUUGUGAUCCAAAAAACCUUCUCCUUUCCCCAGCUGAACCAAGAGGACCCUGAACAAAGCAGUGAAAAUAUUUCAAGUUUCUUGGGAAUUCGUGGACUUCAUUAAAGGAUAAAUCUGUGAUGUAACACUAUUAUUGAGGCAUUUAAAAGCAUGGCACAGUAACAUAAAAAAAAAAAAAAAAAGAUAGGGCUAGGGGCAUUCUAACAAGAAAGUAAAAGCCUCUCUAAAUACAUCAUGUUUAAAGUGCUGAAUAAUAAAACCAGAUAUGCAAGUAGAGAGUUUUUAGUCUAAUAGAACAUAUUUUUUAGCUAUCAGAAGUAAGAAGCAUGUUCUCAAUAAGAUGUGAAGAAUAAUUUUACAGCUUCUGCAAUGACAGACAUUGCAAGGUAAGACACUCAUUACAGGCACUUAAAGACUGAAAAAUUCUUAGAAAACCGUGUGGAAAAAGAAUCUUCUCACAAAAAAAAUAAUUCAGGAAGCGACAGCUCCAUCAGCAGUACUAUUUUACUGGUUUAUUUCACCCCAAGAGUCUGCUUAUAACUCCUCCUUGUGUAGUACAGUGGUUUUGGUUUUUUAUCAAGAUUACUUGUGUUCUUGCUGAUGAAUCAGAUAGGAAACAGCUUAAAGGCACUGAAAUUGUGGCUUCUUUUGUGUGUAAUUAAUGCUCUUUUUCAAGGGUGUUAAUUUCAUAUGGUCCUUGCUGUAAGUUUCCAAAACAAUACACUUACUUGAUUCCAAAUUACCUACAAAGAUACAGACUCCUGUCUCAAUUAGUUACAUUGUUUUCUUAUCUGUGAUCUUAAUUUUUCAAUAACUAAGUUGUUUAUUUUUAGAAAACUCUCUGUCAGAUGGGGACGAGUGGCAAGGCAGAUUCUGUUCUGACUGCUGCAGUGAUUAUGCACACCUAAAGGCUGCUGGAACGACAUCUUCAGUGCUUUGUUUUGGAUGGUCCUUUUAACUAUUUCAGAUUACAGAGAAACACUGAGCAUCAACCUUUGCAUCACUUGAUAAAGAGCUGCCCAGGAUCUCUCCUGGAGGAGCUAGGAGACAGCAGUCUUGCUGCCAUCUGUGUGAUAGCUUUAGUUGAUCUGGGAAGCACUCCAGGAAAAACCAAGGCCAGGAGGUAUUCCCUGGAAGGAAUCACUCCGUGCAGACAAGGUGAGGUACACCCCCUCUCUGCUGAGUGAGAGAUGGAUUGGGGUUGUGCAGGGAUCUUUCCCCAAGUGGCAUUUCUCUGACAGAAGACAAAAGCUGCACGAGAGCCAGAGAGCUGAGGAACAAUGUCAGUGGAAGGAGGGAACUGGAAGGCUUUGUUUAGAAAGUGCAGCUGAUGCCCUUUUGUGAUGAGAUUGGAAGCAGGCUGCUGCGAUAGCUUUGUUCUAGACUGGGUCUGCUGGCACAUGAGCAUGGAUUUGGCUGUAUCCAGAGACAACCUGAGCUGUACUUUGAAAUGUUAUCUGCUGAGGUUCUUUUGCUGGGAAGGCUCUUAACAACAGUGGCUGUGUGGAGAUUAAAUGAGCAGUAGUGAGAACCUCUGUUAAAAAGGAAGAAAACAUGGGAGCGUCUACUCAUGGAGACAAAUCUAUUUAUCAUCUGAGAACUAAUGUUGUAGAGAGAAAAGAUGGAGACAAAUAAACAUCUCUGCUUUCUA